AAUUUUGGACACUGGGGGAAACCCUGAUCCAGCCAUCCGGCGUGUAUGAUGAAGGCCUUCGGGUUGUUAAGUACUGUUGGCAGAGAGGAAAAGGUAUCUCCUAAUACGAGAUACUGCUGACGCUACCUGCAGAAUAAGCACCGGCUAACUACGUGCCAGCAGCCGCGGUACUACGUAGGGUGCAAGCGUUAAUCGGAAUUACUGGGCGUAAGGGGGGUGUAGGCGGUUAGGAAAGAAAGAUGUGAAAGCCCAGGGGUCAACCUUGGAACUGCAUUUUUAACUGCCGAGCUAGAGUAUGUGAGAGGGGGGUAGAAUUCCAGGUGUAGCAGUGAAAUGCGGAGAUAUGUGGAGGAAUACCGAUGGCGAAGGCAGCACCCUGGGAUAAUACGGACGCUCAGACACGAAAGCGUGGGGAGCAAACAGG
rnacentral:rRNA from 1 species